CUAGUGGCAACGCACCGCAACCUUAUCUCCCCUGUCCCUUGCCCCUCCCCCUCCCCCAACCAAUCUUGCCCACACCACAGAUGCAUCCUCCGCCCCCAAACGAUGGCGACAAGGACGCCGGCAACCCGCGUCUCCUUCCACCUCCCCCAGCUCGUCUUCUCACCGGCCGCUUUGGAGGAGCCUCCUUUUGUGCGCCAUCGUGGCCGGGCUGCGGUGACCACUAGAGGUCCGCCGCCGGCAGGAGGUCCCUCCUUCUCCACUACGAGGCACCAGCAGAGGAGGACGACUCCUCCUUCCAUCCCUAGCCGCGGCGUCCAACCUCUAACGCUGCUUGAAACCCUAUCCCGAAUCCGGCAGAGGCGCAGCAGCACGGGAUCCCCUCCAAAAGUAGCAUCUUCUUCUUCCUCUGGUUCUUCUUCUUCUUCCCCGGGUCUGAUGCGUGUGUGUGUUCGCGUGGUUGUGUGCAGGCAGCUGAAGGAAGGGGCGGGCCAUGGAGAAGCUGCUAGGUGUGGGCCUGAAGCCAUGGAUGGAUAGCGUACGGCGAGGAGGCACUGAACAGAGCGGCGGGCAAGGACGAAGUGAAGCUGCGCGCACCAUCGUCAUAUCCCUCCUCCACCUGCUGUUACUAGAAGCAAGUGUAGUACCAUCUCAUCUCAUCCACGAGGUGAGCUCCCGUCCGCGUGCCCGCGAGCUGCUUGUGUUUAUGCCCAUAUCGUUUUCUGUUCACGACACCCCCAUGGCUGCCUACAGCCUCUGCCCACCUACAAUUCUCAUUGUUUAUUUAGUGCUCACUAACCCACAUUGAACGAUCCCAGUCGAUGAAUGAAUGCAUCUGGUCCAGCAAGAGGGGAGGGCAGAGCAGAGUAGGGCAUACAAUGUGUUUCUUUCCCAUAUACUUUUUCCUGCUUCAAGUACUAGCAUAAGUAUGAUCAUCAUUAGAGGCUAAUCUCCUUUUUGCCGGGUCAUUGGAUGCUAAUCAUAGUUUAAGACGUUGGUCGGUCAAGUCAAGCAAAACUAGUACGUAUGUAGUGACAUGUGAUUCAUCGGUCAAGUCAAGCAAGACACAGCUACACUCACUCUAAGUGACUCUGCUCUCCCCGUCCGGCCCUCGCAUCCGCCACCUGCUGCUCAGCCUCGCCGGCCGACAACACAGAGUUUCGUCCUGCACUAUAUUUCUUGCUCAAUUGUUGUUAGUGCUUAGGUUGUACUAGUAGCAGCAGCACAAGUACAAGAAGGGUUUCAGAUUUCUCACUUGUGCAAAGAAUAAGUUCAGUCAAUCUAAUAUACAUACUUACACUGUAAAUCCCUAUGUACUUCCAGUGAAUUCCCUUUGUAAUGGUAGUGUUUGCAAUGUAAAAUUGCAUUGUAAGAUAGACUAAUAAAAGACUGAAACUACAGUCCAAAUAAUUGUUACUUAACUGAAAAUAUGUAGACUGAAAUUAUGCACUGUAAUUUAAUGUGCAUUUUUGUCCAGUAAUGUGUAUUCCUCUCUUUUUGUUUGCCUGAAUUUAAAGUGGUUUUGGACUGUAAUUUUCAGUAAUGUGUCACUUCUAGUUUACCUGAAUAUUUUUGUAUUCUUAUCAGUUUUGUGCCCCAUUCUAAAGAAGUUCAGUAAAUGUGUACGUCCCAUUCUAUAAAUACAAUAUUUUACAAACCAUUUAGAUACAACAACCUGAUCUUUGUUUUCUUUUUCACAAGAGCUAUUUUUGGCUUACAUGAAGGGAUGCAUGCUCUUCAUCUUGCAGGUAUGACUCAUCCUUGCAUUCUUACUUCGCCUUUGUUUCCUGCAGCUUCUUGAUUCUGAAAUUUUAAGAUAAAUUGCACCUGAGCUAUUUACACAAGGAGGGGACCCAGCCUUCUUCACGGCUCGCGGCAGUGUCUCCCAUUUAUUCGUUCGUGCGACAAGGAGGGGACUCGCCCUUCUUCACGUCUCGUGCAACAAGGACCAGCCUCUGGCUAUACUAUUGAUUCGUGUGCAUGUGCUAAAAAGGGUGAUCGACGCGGACUACCGCAGCCUUGUGGGCGUCGUGCUCUUCAACCACUCGGAGGUGGACUUCACCGUGAAGCCCGACGACCGCGUCGCACAGAUGAUCGUCCAGGUGAUCGUAACGCCGGAGGUCGCCGAGGUGGAGGACCUUGAUACCAUCAUUUGGGGGGAGAAAGGAUUGGGGUCCACCAGCAUCUGAACUCCGAGCCUUGGUAGAUACAUAUAGAGAAGUGGUAUGUUUAGGCUACUGGUGGAACACUAGGAAAGGUACCCACCUUUGGUUGUGUGCGUUUAUUGUUAAAUGGAAUCACGUGAUCUCUUGCAGUUGAGAUGUUCAAUGUUGCAUCCAUGAAUAGUGCAAGUGUCAAGAUGGUCCUGUGACCUUAAUUUAUUUUGCA